CUACGGGCCGCUCCAGUGGGGAAUAUUGGACAAUGGGGGAAACCCUGAUCCAGCAAUGCCGCGUGUGUGAAGAAGGCCUGCGGGUUGUAAAGCACUUUCGGUUGGGAGGACUGCUUCUAGCACUAAUAUUGUUGGAAGUUGACGUUACCUUCAGAAGAAGCACCGGCUAACUCCGUGCCAGCAGCCGCGGUAAUACGGAGGGUGCAAGCGUUGAUCGGAAUUACUGGGCGUAAAGCGCGCGUAGGCGGCUAGAUCAGUCGGGUGUGAAAGCCCCGGGCUUAACCUGGGAACUGCAUCCGAUACUGUCUAGCUUGAGUACAGGAGAGGAGAGUGGAAUUCCACAUGUAGCGGUGACAUGCGUAGAUAUGUGGAGGAACACCAAUGGCGAAGGCAGCUCUCUGGCCUGAUACUGACGCUGAGGUGCGAAAGCGUGGGGAGCAAACAGGAUUAGAUACCUGUGUAGUC
rnacentral:rRNA from 1 species